rnacentral:rRNA from 1 species
AGGACGAACGCUGGCGGCGUGCUUAACACAUGCAAGUCGAGCGGUGAACUGGAGCUUGCUCCGGGGAUCAGCGGCGAACGGGUGAGUAACACGUGGGCAACCUGCCCUCAGCUCUGGGAUAACUCCGGGAAACCGGGGCUAAUACCGGAUACGACUUCCUGCGGCAUCUUGGGAAGUGGAAAGUUUUUCGGCUGAGGAUGGGCCCGCGGCCUACCAGCUUGUUGGUGGGGUAACGGCCCACCAAGGCGACGACGGGUA